UUAGUUGCUGUUUCAUGGUCUUCAAUUUAUUCCAUAUCUGCUGCAUAGGUGUUCCUUCACAUUCCUGUCUCCAGACCUGUUGUAGUAUGGUUUGAAACUGAGGACUCUCCAUAAUAGUAAGAUAAAUCUGAAAGGCUUAGGAUGCAGAAGUCUUUGAUCUCCAAAUUUGAUAAGAACAGGAGAGUGAUCAGAAACUAGUGGAUUCAUGAAGUCAGCUUCUAGGUGUCCAUGUUGUUGUAUCCACUGGAAGUUGCCCAAUGCCCAAUCAAUCUUGCUAUAGACCCUAGUUGUAGUACUCUGCUUGUUAGUCCAAGUGUAAUGCCACCCUUUAACUCUAAGAGGAGUGAGUUGAAGGUCAAAAAUGACAUCUUUAAAGCCUUUAACUUCAAUAUCAGUAACAGGAGA
rnacentral:lncRNA from 1 species